rnacentral:lncRNA from 1 species
AACCAGCUGUUAAAGUUUAACACCCGUCACAUCGGAUGUUUGGAUGCUAAUUAGGAGUAUUAAAUAUAGACUAAUUACAAAACUAAUUGCACGGAUGGAGUAUAAUUCGCGAGACGAAUCUAUUAAGCCUAAUUAGUCCAUGAUUUGACAAUAUGGUGCUACAGUAACCAUUUGCUAAUGAUGGAUUAAUUAGGCUUAAUAGAUUCGUCUCGUGAAUUAACACAGGGUUCUGCAAUUAGUUUUAUAAUUAGCUCAUGUUUAGUUCUCCUAAUUAGCAUCCGAACAUCCGAUGUGACACUGUUAAAGUUUAACACCUCGUAUCCAAACACCCCCUUUGCUUUGCUGCCCAAUAUUCAGUGGCUUUCAUGGAGCAAAGCAGCAGUGCUUACACCAGUCAUAAGCCCUGGUAUGUAUGAUUAUAUGCUGCCUCAUUUCGCAAUACUUUAUUUGGUGGCCAUCUGAAAAAUCUUUGGGAGCGCAGAGAC